GCAGUAGCCGCGGUAAUACAGAGGGUGCGAGCGUUAAUCGGAUUUACUGGGCGUAAAGCGUGCGUAGGCGGCUUUUUAAGUCGGAUGUGAAAUCCCUGAGCUUAACUUAGGAAUUGCAUUCGAUACUGGGAAGCUAGAGUAUGGGAGAGGAUGGUAGAAUUCCAGGUGUAGCGGUGAAAUGCGUAGAGAUCUGGAGGAAUACCGAUGGCGAAGGCAGCCAUCUGGCCUAAUACUGACGCUGAGGUACGAAAGCAUGGGGAGCAAACAGGAUUAGAUACCCCCGUAGUCCCUGUCUCUUAUAC
rnacentral:rRNA from 1 species